rnacentral:tRNA from 2 species
AUUUUCUUAGUAUUAAUGCCAGUACAAGUGACUUCCAAUCACACAGCCUCGGUUAAACCCCGGGAGGAAAUA